GUACUCACUUCAGCAGCACAUAAACUAAACUGGAACGAUACAGAGAAAAUUAGUGUGACCCCUGCACAAGGAUGACUGGCAAACUUUGUGAAGCAUUCCACAUUUUU
ensembl:snRNA U6 U6 spliceosomal RNA